rnacentral:tRNA from 1 species
GGAGAGGUGCCGGAGCGGCCGAACGGGGCUGCCUGCUAAGCAGUUGUAGGGGAAACUCUACCGAGAGUUCGAAUCUCUCCCUCUCCGCCA